CUGUACGAGCGUGGCUAAACCGUAUACAAACGAUUUUAUAUUCUGGAAUCUAUAUCUAAUGUCAAAUAUCGCGAGUUUCAUGGAAUGUCAACGGUAUUUGCGAGUAAGAGAAAUCAUGAAUUAUGGAAGAUCCACCAACUAUCGCUUUGAAACAGAUUUUUUCAUGUUCAAUUCUCCAUUAAUUUUCUCACGCGAAUCGAUUAUAGACGUCGAUCGAUUUAAUCAUUGGCCCAAUCAAUAGGCUAUUGUAAUCGUGAGUGGGAAAUAAUCGACGACCCGUAGGAAACUUAACACCGUUUCUUCCUGCUGGGACUCCGCAGGAGACGCGUCGUAAAAUUGAUAGAUCACGAAGAUACAACGCGCGCUGCGUUACCGCGCAGCAAUUCAUGUAUAGCUGGACACCGUACUGCAGCAGCUGACGAAGUGACUGUACGAGGCUGCAUAACGGAAACGACGCCGUCACGGAACAGCCUCUGUGGUGGCCUUUGAGAACGGAAACCCGCGAUCCGAGGAAACAUUGCGCAGCGUCACGUACCACAUCAUGGAGGCGAUUUUGAUCAAUUUUUUUGCCCAGCAGAGAAUUUAUCCGGCAUAUUUCAUUAUUUCUUGCUCCAGCAACAUUUUCAACUUCCCGUCGUGUCUCGUUUGGCUCACUUUACUUCUCGCAUUAUCAGCAACAUCAAGCAAGAAAAAACGUUGGCACUUGUAAAGAUUCGACGUUCAAUUUACCACACAAAAGUAAAGACGAUACGAUUUAGAUUCGAUAUCAGAAUAUUGUUAGAAACUUGCUCCACGAUUAGCACCGUUGUCGACGAGAAGAUGUUUCCCCUUUGCGAACAGGUUUCCGCUUAUAGCUACCGAUUCAACGCAUUCGGAUCCUCGAAAUUACUAUACACACGAAGAACCACUUGCAACCACUUUUAGGCAGGAAAUGCGUCGAGUGUCGGUCGCAGACUACUGAAACCUUCGGAUGCCACUCGAGGCCACGUAUGCGUGUAUACGUGUGCGAUGCUUAGACCUAUACACAUCGUGUUAUAACGAUAUUCAUGGAAACCUUCCUGCUAGCCAGAAUUUAUUCCACGAUAAAGGUCUACCAGUCGCGCACACUUGUUGAUCGAAGGAAGUAGUCACGUGCACGCACUCUGUUAUAAUCGUAGGGACGAACACAGACCGAUGAUUUUGAGGCACGCACUCUGGUUUCCACGCACGUUUUUAAAAAACACCUGGAUAGGAGCGUUAGGUUUUUAAGUACGUUCAAGCGGAAGUUAAUUCCUUUGUGAUCGUGUUUCGAUGUUGUCAAUGUUGUUUCACUUUUAUGAUUUUACUUCUGCAGCAUAUAUGUAGAAAUUACA